rnacentral:rRNA from 1 species
GACGAACGCUGGCGGCGUGCUUAACACAUGCAAGUCGAACGAGACGAUUGAAAGCUUGCUUUCGAAAGUCGAGUGGCAAACGGGUGAGUAACGCGUAGACAACCUGCCUUUGAGAUGGGGACAACAGUUCGAAAGGACUGCUAAUACCGAAUGUUGUAUAUUUUCCACAUGGAAGGUAUAUUAAAGAUGGCCUCUAUUUAUAAGCCAUCGCUCGAAGAUGGGUCUGCGUCUGAUUAGCUGGUUGGUGGGGUAACGGCCUACCAAGGCGAUGAUCAGUAGCCGGUCUGGGAGGAUGAACGGCCACAUUGGGACUGAGACACGGCCCAGACUCCUACGGGAGACAGCAGUGGGGAAUCUUCCACAAUGGACGAAAGUCUGAUGGAGCAACGCCGCGUGAGUGAAGAAGGGUUUCGGCUCGUAAAGCUCUGUUGUCGGGGACGAAUGUGCAGUAUUUGAAUAAAGUACUGUAAUGACGGUACCUGACGAGGAAGCCACGGCUAACUACGUGCCAGCAGCCGCAGUAA